UACGUAGGGGGCAAGCGUUAUCCGGAUUUACUGGGUGUAAAGGGAGCGUAGACGGCGACGCAAGUCUGAAGUGAAAUGCCAGUGCUCAACACUGGAACUGCUUUGGAAACUGUGUAGCUAGAGUGCAGGAGAGGUAAGUGGAAUUCCUAGUGUAGCGGUGAAAUGCGUAGAUAUUAGGAGGAACACCAGUGGCGAAGGCGGCUUACUGGACUGUAACUGACGUUGAGGCUCGAAGGCGUGGGGAGCAAACAGG
rnacentral:rRNA from 1 species